ACCGCWKAGUUUUKRAUCAUGGCUCAGGACGAACGCUGGCGGCGUGCCUAAUACAUGCAAGUCGAGCGGACAGAAGGGAGCUUGCUCCCGGAUGUUAGCGGCGGACGGGUGAGUAACACGUGGGUAACCUGCCUGUAAGACUGGGAUAACUCCGGGAAACCGGAGCUAAUACCGGAUAGUUCCUUGAACCGCAUGGUUCAAGGAUGAAAGACGGUUUCGGCUGUCACUUACAGAUGGACCCGCGGCGCAUUAGCUAGUUGGUGGGGUAAUGGCUCACCAAGGCGACGAUGCGUAGCCGACCUGAGAGGGUGAUCGGCCACACUGGGACUGAGACACGGCCCAGACUCCUACGGGAGGCAGCAGUAGGGAAUCUUCCGCAAUGGACGAAAGUCUGACGGAGCAACGCCGCGUGAGUGAUGAAGGUUUUCGGAUCGUAAAGCUCUGUUGUUAGGGAAGAACAAGUGCGAGAGUAACUGCUCGCACCUUGACGGUACCUAACCAGAAAGCCACGGCUAACUACGUGCCAGCAGCCGCGGUAAUACGUAGGUGGCAAGCGUUGUCCGGAAUUAUUGGGCGUAAAGGGCUCGCAGGCGGUUUCUUAAGUCUGAUGUGAAAGCCCCCGGCUCAACCGGGGAGGGUCAUUGGAAACUGGGAAACUUGAGUGCAGAAGAGGAGAGUGGAAUUCCACGUGUAGCGGUGAAAUGCGUAGAGAUGUGGAGGAACACCAGUGGCGAAGGCGACUCUCUGGUCUGUAACUGACGCUGAGGAGCGAAAGCGUGGGGAGCGAACAGGAUUAGAUACCCUGGUAGUCCACGCCGUAAACGAUGAGWGCUAAGUGUUAGGGGGUUUCCGCCCCUUAGUGCUGCAGCUAACGCAUUAAGCACUCCSGCCCGGGRU
rnacentral:rRNA from 1 species